CACUCCACAGUAUUUAUGCCUACCUUGUGUAUCGGAGUUUGAGCUCGCGCGCGGCGCGUGUGUGUAAAUUGGAAUGUCCAUUGCCUGCCCAUCGGUAUUUGUGGCAGGGGAGUGCUCAUGACUGUGGCACCCAGCACUGUUAUGGAUCAACAAUAUGAUUUGAACAGGAUUCGAGUAGUCAGUGUGUCUUACAACGAACUCCAGACCAUUGCUGCCAAUAUGGGCGAAGUGAGGGAGGACAACAGCUCGUCAGAUAGCGGCACCACGCGUGAGGAAGUCAACCACGCCGACAUGUCGGCCGUCAACGAGCGCGUGCGGAAGACGAAGCGCCCCGACAUGGCCAUCUACAGGCCUAAGGCGCGUCUGAGUGAGGCCCGGGCGGCCAAGUCCUGGCUUGGAGACGAGCGGCGCGUCGCCGGAGGAGGUCCCGCCGCCCGCCGAGCCGCAGCGGCGACCGAAGAGCGCGCCGCGUGCCCAGCCCCAGCGACCGCCGCGCCAGGAGCCGGAUCCCGCCGCCAACGGCUAUCCG